AAUCGGUUGGAUAGUCGCUCAACACGGAUGUCGUCUCCCUGCCUUUGACCACGGAUGUACUGGCAUUGGCAGGUCGAGAGGACGAGGAAGGUCGGGUUCGCCCGGCCUUUUUUGUU
rfam:Sinorhizobium fredii NGR234, complete genome.